UUACUGUUAAGUAAGAGGUCCCCCCCCCCAGAAGAACAGGGUUAAAUAAGUUGCUCAGUUACACAGCACAUGCUUGCAUGUAACUGGGGCACACAGCUUCUAGCUUGUGUUCCCUUUAACUGCGAGCUACAUGG
ensembl:snoRNA small nucleolar RNA SNORA76